rnacentral:rRNA from 1 species
AACGCUAGCUACAGGCUUAACACAUGCAAGUCGAGGGGAAACGAUAUUGGAAGCUUGCUUCCGAUAGGCGUCGACCGGCGCACGGGUGAGUAACGCGUAUCCAACCUGCCGUCUACUCUUGGACAGCCUUCUGAAAGGAAGAUUAAUACAAGAUGGCAUCAUGAGUCCGCAUGUUCACAUGAUUAAAGGUAUUCCGGUAGACGAUGGGGAUGCGUUCCAUUAGAUAGUAGGCGGGGUAACGGCCCACCUAGUCUUCGAUGGAUAGGGGUUCUGAGAGGAAGGUCCCCCACAUUGGAACUGAGACACGGUCCAAACUCCUACGGGAGGCAGCAGUGAGGAAUAUUGGUCAAUGGGCGCAGGCCUGAACCAGCCAAGUAGCGUGAAGGAUGACUGCCCUAUGGGUUGUAAACUUCUUUUAUAAAGGAAUAAAGUCGGGUAUGUAUACCCGUUUGCAUGUACUUUAUGAAUAAGGAUCGGCUAACUCCGUGCCAGCAGCCGCGGUAAUACGGAGGAUCCGAGCGUUAUCCGGAUUUAUUGGGUUUAAAGGGAGCGUAGAUGGAUGUUUAAGUCAGUUGUGAAAGUUUGCGGCUCAACCGUAAAAUUGCAGUUGAUACUGGAUAUCUUGAGUGCAGUUGAGGCAGGCGGAAUUCGUGGUGUAGCGGUGAAAUGCUUAGAUAUCACGAAGAACUCUGAUUG